CGACGAUGCGGACACCACCCUGUGGGUUUUGCCUGAACCGUAACCCACAGGGGCCACUGGGGAGAGACCAGAGCACAGUUCAAACCUGGCAUGAGCACAGCCUGUCCUUGUAACUCCACAACUGAGGGGAGGCAGGGACAUGGGGUUGGGAAAAGUGGGGAAGAGCUUCCGGGUUCUGGGAAAGCAGGGGCAGCCUGCGCUAUGUAGGAAGCCGCAGGCUCUAGGAAAUGGUUCUGGGGCCACGACUUCUCAGGUCUUGUGGGUGCAGUCACAGAUGGAGAAAGAGGAGGCCAUAGGAAGCCAGGACAGGCUGCAUGGGCCCUGAGGGAUGGCCCGUCCCUGGGGCUCCCAAAAUCAGGACUUCAUGUCUUCAAGACAGUGGGGUCAGUCCCUGGGGGAGUGGGAGAGGCACAAGGAGCCUGAGGUGCUGAGGGGUCCAUCUCUGGAGGAAACCACGAAAGCUGAGGGUCUGGGGGCUCCAGGCUGCUGAUUCUGGGAGCAGGGGGGGUCCAGGUUAGGGAUGCAGCCUCCUUUUCCCUAGCCCUGGACAGAGGGAGUCGGGGUGGUACCUGCUCCUCAGAAGAUCCUUCCCCCACCAAGGUGCCCCGACACUUACUCACACGUGGCGUUAUCUUUAGCAACCACGGACACUGCCAAGACCAGCAGAAUGGCAGUUGGUAGCAUCUCAACCAUACUCCUGGCACUGCCUGGCCUGCAAGCCUAGUGACCUCACAAAGCUCCGUGGCUGCCUGGCCAAUCAGCAGGGGUGACCCCCACCCCACCCCCAGCAGUCAGGCCAGGUAAGAGCCCCUCGCCUUAACUGGUUUGUGCUGAAGAGACUUCUUGACUUCCUGCAUAGGCUCCCCCACCACCAGGAUGAUGGGGGACUCCUGUGCAGCCCCACUCCCUCUGUCCCAAGGCCAGGAUCUCCAUUCCCAGUAACUCUUGCGAGGUCCCCACAUCACCCAAGGCUCUGGCUUUGUGCAGGUUCAGAGUCUGCCUCUCAUGCGUGCUGUGACCACUGCAGACUCACAGACUGAGGAGCGGCUCAGCCCUUCAGUGAUGAGACGGUGCAACAUGUUUGUGGAUCAGAGGAGUCAGGGUCAGCAGAUUAAUUGAUCCUUAAUUGUUGUUGGGGAAGUUUUCUUUUCCUCUUCCAAGUGAAUGCUAUCAACACACUUUUCCAAGAGUCAUUUUGAAUUUUCCUAAUUUACAACUGCAAAGCCCACCUUCCUGUCCGUUGCUGAAUAUCACAAGGUCUCCUAUUAUCCUGAAUGUCUCCAGAUCGGCUUUCUGUGACUGAGGUGGAGCAAGGUGUUUUCUCCUAUACUUGAAUGUCAAGAGUUUUCAUACAGCUACCUGAAUAUCAUGAAGCAUCAUUUUUCCCAUCUGAUCAUCAGGAACUAGCAUCUCACCUACCAGAGUGUGACAAAUGCUUAUUGCAAACACCUGAAUGUUAAAACAUUUCCCAUCGCCUGCAAGUGUCAGGAGGUCACACUCUUACCUGCAUGAGGGCAGCCUUACCUCUUCUACCUGAAUGUAAGAUCUCAACCAGCCCGAGGGUCAAUAGGUUGCACAUCAUCUAAGUGGGUGUCAGAAGGUCCCAUGCCUCCAACCUGAGUGUCAGGACAUCUCAUCUCCUAUUCCUGAGUGUUGAGUUUUCAGAUUAUCAGAUGAUCUUGAUUUAUCUAUUUUCUCUAACUGAAUGUCGUACUUAUGACAUCCUCAAAUGAAUGUUCAAUAGGUCUCGUAUAUCUUACCCAGUAUCAGGGAGUGAUCACCUCCUUCUUUGAAAGAAAUAACAACUCUGUUUUUCCACUUCAGUGCCAGAGGCCCUCAUCGCCUCCACCUACAGGUUAAGAAUUCUCACCUCCACCACCCAAGUGUCACCCUGUCGCACUUUCUCUACCUGAAAAUCAAGAGGUCUUACAUCUUCCAGCUGAAUGUCAAGAGGUUGUAUUUUACCUAUAUGAAUGUUCUGAAGUCUCCACCGGUAUACCAGAGUGUUGGGAGAUCUCAUUGCCCCCAUCUGGGUGCCAGGGCAUGUCCUACCCUCUACUUGAAUAUAGUCUCAUAUCCCUGUCUAAAUGGCAUGGAGCUUUCAUCUCCUCUGCUAGAGUAUCAUGAGAUCUCCUCUAUUCUGGGUGUCCAAAGUUCUCAUCUCAACCCCCUGAGGUCUGGAGGUAUUCUCACCUCUUCCUGGUUGUCUGGAGGUCUCAUCUCCCUUACCUGAGAGUCAUGAAACCUCCUAUCUCCUAUAUGCCCUAUCUAAGUCAUGACACUUUAUCUCCUCCGAGUGUCAGGGGAUUUUUCUACCUUUAUGUCAGGUAGCCCCACUUCCUCUAGCUGAAGGGCAUACAAGUUCUAUUUCGUGACUUGAAUGUGAAUAGGUUUCAGCUGCACUACUGAGUGUUAGCGGACCUCACUUAUUUUAACUGAGCAUCAAGUUGUGUCUCAUAAAUAACCAGAAAAAGACUUUGGAAAUAUGGUUCAAGAAAUGGCAAGAAGAAUUGAAGAAGUGGGCCCAAGUGCAGAGGCUCAUGCCUGUAAUCCCAGCACUUUGAGAGGGUGAGGCAGGCAGAUCACUUGAGCUCAGGAGCCCCAGACCAGCCUGGGCAACACGGCAAAACCCCGUCUGUACAAAAAAUACAAAAAUUAGCCAGGUGCAGUGGCACCUGCAUCCCAGCUACUCAGAAAGCUGAGGCAGGAGAAUCAUUUGAACCCAGAAGGCAGAAGUUGCAGUGAGCCGAGAUCGCACCAUUGCACUCAAGCUUGGGCAAUGGGAGUGAAACCCUGUCUCAAAAAAAAAAAAGAAGAAGAUUAAAGUUUUGACUGUUAAAGAAAAUAUUAUUCGGGUGUUUUUAAUGGAUAGCACCUAUUUCUUUACAAAUAUUUAGGAGGUAUCAAUAAAAAAGUCUGAAGACCCAAUGUCAGUGUCUGGAUUCUAGAAGACCAUUACAGUUUGACUCCGCAAAGCUUACCCACUUCUGAUUCUAGAAGGGGCUGCCAGUCAUCGUGCCUGCCCGUGGCUAUAGUGAUGGUUGCGGGAAAAGUACCUGGCCCGGCCCAUUUAAUUUUGUCAUUAAACUAAUGGAAGCAACAAACAUCUCAACUCAGAGUGACUUUGUCUGACCUUCUUCAUGCUGUUCUAAGAGCGAAGGAGAAAUGGGUGACAGGUCUGGGGCCAGAGGGUGGGGUCCCAUCCGAGGGCAUGGCUCAGGCUGAGGCAGAGUGCUCAGCACAGGGGGCAGGAUGGGGGCUCCCCAUCUCCCCUCAAACUCCUCCCUGCUCUCUGCUUCCACCCUGACCCCCAGGCACCCCUCCAGCUCAUCCCAGCCAUUCUCGCUGCUCCUGCUCACCCCAACCACCCGCUGCCUUCGCCAGCCGUGCCCACUUCUGUCCCCAUGCCUUAUUUACCUGGGCAAUCCAACUCCCACCCCAGUUUUUCUCACCC
rnacentral:lncRNA from 10 species